GAUGAACACUGGCGGCGUGCCUAAUACAUGCAAGUCGAGCGAACAGAUGAGGAGCUUGCUCCUCUGACGUUAGCGGCGGACGGGUGAGUAACACGUGGAUAACCUACCUAUAAGACUGGGAUAACUUCGGGAAACCGGAGCUAAUACCGGAUAAUAUAUUGAACCGCAUGGUUCAAUAGUGAAAGACGGUUUUGCUGUCACUUAUAGAUGGAUCCGCGCCGCAUUAGCUAGUUGGUAAGGUAACGGCUUACCAAGGCAACGAUGCGUAGCCGACCUGAGAGGGUGAUCGGCCACACUGGAACUGAGACACGGUCCAGACUCCUACGGGAGGCAGCAGUAGGGAAUCCUCCGCAAUGGGCGAAAGCCUGACGGAGCAACGCCGCGUGAGUGAUGAAGGUCUUCGGAUCGUAAAACUCUGUUAUUAGGGAAGAACAAAUGUGUAAGUAACUAUGCACGUCUUGACGGUACCUAAUCAGAAAGCCACGGCUAACUACGUG
rnacentral:rRNA from 1 species